AUUGGAGGGCAAGUCUGGUGCCAGCAGCCGCGGUAAUUCCAGCUCCAAUAGCGUAUAUUAAAGUUGUUGCGGUUAAAAAGCUCGUAGUUCGAGUUCAGUUUCGGACUGGGGUGGGAGGUCACCGCCCGGUGCUUCCCCUUUAGGCUCCGAACAGCUUCCUUUAUAGGAAGCCAAGCCGGUUCUGGCGGGGUGCUCUUUACCGAGUGUCCCGCGCGGCCGGCCAGUUCACCUUGAAUAAAUGAGAGUGCUCAAAGCAGGCUACUCUGGAAUACAAUGCCCGAAUGUUAACUGCAUGGAAUGAUGGAAGAUGAUCUCGGUUCCAUUUUGUUGGUUUAGGGAGCCCGAGUUAAUGAUAAAGAGGGACUGUCGGGGGCAUCCGUACUACGACGCGAGAGGUGAAAUUCAGUGACCGUCGUAGGACGAACAACAGCGAAAGCAUUUGCCAAGAAUGUCUUCGUUGAUCAAGAACGAAAGUUAGAGGAUCGAAGGCGAUCAGAUACCGCCCUAGUUCUAACCCUAAACGAUGCUGACUAGCAAUUCGCCGUCGUUAUUCCCAUGACGUGGCGAGACGCCCCCGGGAAACCUCAAGUUUUUGAGUUCCGGGGGUAGUAUGGUUGCAAAAGUGAAACUUAAAGGAAUUGACGGAAGGGCACCACCAGGAGUGGAGCCUGCG
rnacentral:rRNA from 1 species